GGCUAAAGAGUGACACGGUCGAGGCGCUGAUAUGCCUCCAAGAUUGGCUAAAGGCUGAUGAUCCUAAAACAACCAAUAAAGAUGUUGAGGAGGAAGAAUACUUGGUUUUCUACCAAGAAAGCGAGUGCCAUGAAGAGACCGCGCCAACAGAAUUAGCUUGUGGAACUCAACAAACAGGUAAACAUUUUCACGGUCAUUGUGUAACUUAAUGGUUUCAUGAAAUCCAAUCUGUCAAGAUUAGGUUCGGUUGCUGCAUGUAUAAGUUAUUUCCACCCAGACCAUUAGUGUAGAAAAAUAAAGAAAAUGUUGAAUUAUUAUAAUUCAGACUUUUCAGAGUCAGUAUUUGUUAGCUAAACUGACUGACUGUU